GUAUCUACUACCCUUUCUAUAUCACUGUUACUGCUCCCACUGGAAGGUUAUUCCAGGUAUCUACUACCCUUUCUAUAUCACUGUUACUGCUCCCACUGGAAGGCUAUUCCAGGUAUCUACUACCCUUUCUAUAUCACUGUUACUGCUCCCACUGGAAGGUUAUUCCAGGUAUCUACUACCCUUUCUAUAUCACUGUUACUGCUCCCACUGGAAGGCUAUUCCAGGUAUCUACUACCCUUUCUAUAUCACUGUUACUGCUCCCACUGGAAGGCUAUUCCAGGUAUCUACUACCCUUUCUAUGUCACUGUUACUGCUCCCACUGGAAGGCUAUUCCAGGUAUCUACUACCCUUUCUAUAUCACUGUUACUGCUCCCACUGGAAGGCUAUUCCAGGUAUCUACUACCCUUUCUAUAUCACUGUUACUGCUCCCACUGGAAGGCUAUUCCAGGUAUCUACUACCCUUUCUAUAUCACUGUUACUGCUCCCACUGGAAGGCUAUUCCAGGUAUCUACUACCCUUUCUAUAUCACUGUUACUGCUCCCACUGGGAGGCUAUUCCAGGUAUCUACUACCCUUUCUAUAUCACUGUUACUGCUCCCACUGGAAGGCUCUUCCAGGUAUCUACUACCCUUUCUAUAUCACUGUUACUGCUCCCACUGGAAGGCUAUUCCAGGUAUCUACUACCCUUUCUAUAUCACAGUUACUGCUCCCACUGGAAGGCUAUUCCAGGUAUCUACUACCCUUUCUGUAUCACUGUUACUGCUCCCACUGGAAAGUUAUUCCAGGUAUGUACUACCCUUUCUAUAUCACUGUUACUGCUCCCACUGGAAGGCUAUUCCAGGUAUCUACUACCCUUUCUAUAUCACUGUUACCGCUCCCACUGGAAGGCUAUUCCAGGUAUCUACUACCCUUUCUAUAUCACUGUUACUGCUCCCACUGGAAGGCUAUUCCAGGUAUGUACUACCCUUUCUAUAUCACUGUUACUGCUCCCACUGGAAGGCUAUUCCAGGUAUCUACUACCCUUUCUAUAUCACUGUUACUGCUCCCACUGGAAGGCUAUUCCAUAUAUCUACUACCCUUUCUAUAUCACUGUUACUGCUCCCACUAGAAGGCUAUUCCAGG